CUAUUUAUGAGAAAUUUCUCUCUUACCA
rnacentral:tRNA from 1 species